CGAAAAUAAUAAUACAGUUUUUGCAAUGAAAAAAUUGCAUGGUAAUUAUGCAACGAUUAUUGCACAACGCUGUUUUAUUGUUAACGAGCAAUCACAUGCUCAGGUUGUGAUUUAUCAUGAAAGUUCAUAGUUUAAGGAAACUGAGGUUUUGAGUAAAUUGUUCUUGUACAGGAAAAUAUUAUUUCCUUGGAUUCCUGCAAAUUCAAAGGACAUCAUUGAAGACAUACGAAUUGGCUUUGGGACAAUUUUCCUACAUACAUUGUGUCUGGUCUAUUAUGCGAUCAGAAAACUCACAGUCAUCGUUCGGUUUUGUUUUCAAAUAAUCGCCCUACUUUUGUUGCUGCGUUUUUCCGGAAACGUGACUUGUCAAUCAUGUGACUCAGGUGUACUUUCCACUUAGACAAAACUAUUCCAUAACAGGGUCUUUAAUAUUUAUUAAGUCUCCUCAUUGAACCAUUGACCAUUGUUAAUUAAAAUAGAAAUGAUAAUGGUAGGGCAUAUAAGAUUCCAUGUUCCUUCGUCUACGUCAAACGUUAUCGAAAUCCUUGAAUCUACACGAGAUAAGGGAAAAAUAGACGAAUUUCCUUACACGUGAUAAAUGUAUGCUCAAGAAUGAUACGUGAUGAAACGAUGAUAGAGGUCAUGAACGAACGGGGGUAACGCGAAAUUAACUCUUCUAUAGCGAAGACGUCGUAUGUCCUCUAUAAGUAAGUCGUGAACCAUUAACGUCUAACUCAAUUAAAUGGAAUGCAUCGAAUUAUCUAGAAGAAUGUUAGAACGGCUCAGAUGGUUCUCGUUCCAAAGCCGUUAGUGCCAAGAAGGUGCACCUUGUCAGUCAAUCAUUAUAAAUAGAAUAAUGUUCGUAACAAUUCGUUGCAUUAACAUAGUAACAGUCUAUUGCAAAGUUGAAUGAUUCCUUCAAGAAUUGCUUCAAGGUAAGUCCAUAGGUUGUAGCCAUAGAUUAAAGCCAUAGGUCAUUCUAUUUAUGGUAAAAUCUAUAAGAACAUAGAUUCUUUUCAUUUGUUCAUUUUGCCUAAACUGCAUAUUUCAAAUGGUAAUGCAUACUACUGAAGUGUCAGGCAGGUUUAAAUGGAAGAACGAUGAAUUUUAAUUUGAAUUUGCCACCAAGAACGGCGCCGUGGGUCAUUUGGUUCAGGCGGGUUACAGUAGAUGGCGAAUCGAUCUCGAUCGAUAGACAGCGGAGCGAUAAAUCGCGCAGUAGUGACUACGCAUCCAAGAAGACUGGGCGUGCGUUUGUUUUCGAGGGUCAUGGUAUUGGGGUCCCAGAUACCCCAAGGCACAGUUAAAUCACAUUGUUGCGUAGCCAGCUGGCGCGGCACCUUUAUCAACCGUUCGACCCAGAGCGAACCUCAGUCUUACAGCGACCGACAAGGGAUGCGGAUCUACCUGUACAACAUACAUACACCCUUAUUUUACUUUGUACGUUCAUUUAAUUUGCUGUAUUUAUCUUCUUAGCUUAUUGAAUAAACUCAUUAGCAAGAA